CGAGGAAUAUUGCACAAUGGAGGAAACUCUGAUGCAGUAACGCCGCGUGGGGGAAGAAGACCUUCGGGUUGUAAACCUCUUUUUGUAGAGACGAGUGAGGACGGUAUCUAUAGAAUAAGUCUCGGCUAACUACGUGCCAGCAGCCGCGGUAAGACGUAGGAGGCGAGCGUUAUCCGGAUUCACUGGGCGUAAAGCGCAUGUAGGCGGUUGUGUAAGUCCGUUGUUAAAGCCCCUGGCUCAACUGGGGGAGGUCAAUGGAGACUACACUGACUCGAGGGCAGCAGAGGCACGUGGAACUCCCGGUGUAGCGGUGGAAUGCGUAGAGAUCGGGAAGAACACCCGUGGCGAAGGCGACGUGCUGGGCUGCAUCUGACGCUGAGAUGCGAAAGUGUGGGGAGCAAACGGG
rnacentral:rRNA from 1 species